CACAUCACACUUAACACCCAAAACAAGAAACCCUCACAAACAUAUUCAUCACACAACUUAUCAAAUCAACAAAACUGAAAGAUUCCCAAAUCAAUCCACAGCAUACCCAAAACACCAGAAGCACCUCAAAGCCAUUAUGGUUACCAAUCAAAGUUACCAAACCCAGAAAACAACAGAUUAAAUCUACCAAAUUAUAACAAACCCAUUAAAGCCAAUUGCAUACAGAUUCCAAAAAAGCUUUUGAUACUCAUAGAAACUGUUUUAUUACUGAACCAAGAGCAAAAACACUAACCUUAAUAAAACAUAGAUACAAAAGAUGAAAUCAAACAAAUAAUUGAACGGUACCUUUGGAGACAACGCAUUGAUCCAUAAAAUUAGGGAGCUUAAAAA
rnacentral:lncRNA from 1 species